GACGUAGGGCGCGAGCGUUGUCCGGAUUUAUUGGGCGUAAAGAGCUCGUAGGCGGCUCGUUGCGUCAACCGUGAAAACCCGGGGCUUAACUUCGGGCUUGCAGCUGAUACGGGCAGGCUUGAGUUCGGUAGGGGAGACUGGAAUUCCUGGUGUAGCGGUGAAAUGCGCAGAUAUCAGGAGGAACACCGGUGGCGAAGGCGGGUCUCUGGGCCGAUACUGACGCUGAGGAGCGAAAGCGUGGGGAGCGAACAGG
rnacentral:rRNA from 1 species